CCUACGGGAGGCAGCAGUGGGGGAUAUUGCACAAUGGGGGAAACCCUGAUGCAGCGACGCCGCGUGGGUGAAGAAGCGCCUCGGCGCGUAAAGCCCUGUCAGCAGGGAAGAAAAUGACGGUACCUGAAGAAGAAGCCCCGGCUAACUACGUGCCAGCAGCGGCGGUAAUACGUAGGGGGCAAGCGUUAUCCGGAUUUACUGGGUGUAAAGGGGGCGCAGACGGCGAUGCAAGCCAGGAGUGAAAGCCCGGGGCCCAACCCCGGGACUGCUCUUGGAACUGCGUGGCUAGAGUGCAGGAGGGGCAGGCAGAAUUCCUGGUGUAGCGGUGAAAUGCGUAGAUAUACGGAGGAACACCAGUGGCGAAGGCGGAUUGCUGGACAGUAACUGACGCUGAGGCGCGAAAGCGUGGGGAGCAAACAGGAUUAGAUACCCGGGUAGUC
rnacentral:rRNA from 1 species